AAUGGGAUAGCUGGGUCAAAUAGGUUCCUUUCCAAGUUAUCUAAGGAAUCUCUAUACUGCUUUCCAUAUUAGCUACACAAUUUGCAGUCCCACCAGCAAU
rnacentral:pre_miRNA from 1 species